rnacentral:misc_RNA from 1 species
UGGGCUCGAACGGCUGGUCAACGAUCGUGGAAACACGGUUACUCCGCAAGGGGGUCCAGUCGAGGUGCUGCAUGGCUGUCGUCAGCUCGUGUCGUGAGAUGUUGGGUUAAGUCCCGCAACGAGCGCAACCCUUGUCCUGUGUUGCCAUCAUUAAGUUGGGAACUCGCAGGAGACCGCCAGCGAUAAGCUGGAGGAAGGUGGGGAUGACGUGUCCUUGAUAGG